GUCGCGGACAUUGAUAAAUGGGUGCGUUUGCCAGGCCAGCCAGCCCAUAGUAAAAAAGGAGGUGGAAUACACACCUAAAGGUCAAACACCCAUUUGAGCUUAUAGGCAUGGACCUGGUGGGAAAAUUAACCAAGACAAAAAAUGACAAU